rnacentral:rRNA from 1 species
UGGGGGAUAUUGCACAAUGGGCGAAAGCCUGAUGCAGCGACGCCGCGUGGGGGAUGAAGGCCUUCGGGUUGUAAACUUCUUUUGCUCUGAACAAGGCGCACCAUGGGGUGUGUUGAGUGUAGGGGUUGAUUAGCGCCGGCUAACUACGUGCCAGCAGCCGCGGUAAUACGUAGGGCGCGAGCGUUGUCCGGAACUAUUGGGCGUAAAGGGCUUGUAGGUGGCUGGUUGCGUCUGUCGUGAAAGCUCAUGGCUUAACUGUGGGUUUGCGGUGGGUACGGGCUGGCUUGAGUGCAGUAGGGGAGGCUGGAAUUCCUGGUGUAGCGGUGGAAUGCGCAGAUAUCAGGAGGAAUACCGGUGGCGAAGGCGGGUCUCUGGGCUGUUACUGACACUGAGGAGCGAAAGCAUGGGGAGCGAACAGG